UAAAAUACUAAGGAGGUGGUAGUUGGUACGCACAGAAAUAAAGUAACAUUUCUCUCUUGGGUCGCAGAAGUACGGCUAAUACUAGGUGGAAAAAGAAGCAGAUUCUUCCAAAUGAAAAAAAAAAAUAAUGAUAAUCAUAAUGGGCGCUUCUUCUUCGAAACUUGGGGUGAAACUGUGAAUGAUGGAGAAGCUGGCUUAUCUUUUUCUCAAUAAUAAUAAUAAUAAGAUUACAACUUGCAGUGAAACCUUGUCACUUAAAAUAGGGAAGAAGAGGCGAAAAGCUUUUCGGCUAAACAAUUACCCUUUCCUGCUUACUGUGUGUGUAUGAACUAAGCCUUAUUAGCUUCACGAAAACAUGCCUACUGGUUCUUCCUUGCCAGACCAAUUAAAAGAUUGGAUGCUGCAUAGGUCACAUGAAUGGUGGUUAGUGAGUAGUGUCCUGUCAGCUGCGGUUGGACUCAUUUGUUUUGCUGUCAGCUUCUUCAACCAUCAUCUUAAAGAAUGGAACCUGUUGCUUAAAUUCUCCAUCAUCUCCGUUGCUUGCAUUGCCCUCAUCUGUAUUGCAGUUUUAAUUGCAAAAAAAAUGCUAGAGGGGAGCAAUCCUUGGGUUAAAGCGCAUUUGGUAUUUUUCGCCAUUAUAGUCACAUAUAUCCUCACCUUCUUUCUUGAUAAAGAAAAAGAGGAGGAACCGGAUGUAUAUGGCCUGGUAUCCUACGCUGCAUUUGCUGUGCUGUUUUUAAGUCUAGCAAUACAGACUCGACUCGAUUUUUUGGGAGAAAUCGUAUACUUUUUUCUUGGAGUUCUACUUAUCCGACUCAUGGAGAUAAAAUGGUGGUUGGUUUUCCCUGGAGCAUGCUUCAGUUAUCCACUCAUCAUUCUUUCUUCAUUUCUAGAUGAACUAUCAGGAGAACGCGGUCGCCUCCCCAUUCGAACGCCUCUACCAGCUUCACCCGAUGCUGAAACUUCUCAUGUUGAUGAUACGGGCGCUCUAAUGAGUCCACAACAAUCCAAUAAUACCGAUACCGAUACUGUUCCUCUUUUGGCGCCUCAACCUGAUGAUCUCUUAGACGUGUUCAGGCGUGCUCUACGCCCGCUUAAUGGGAUGGAUAAGGAACUUGCAAGGGAGUUACAGCGCCCCUUGAAGGAUUACAUUACGGAUAGAAGUGAAGAGGUUCCAGAGGUAUUGGUGAAUGACCCCAACUUCCUAGUGGAUAGGAUUUCGCCACAGGUACUUGAUGAGCUGAAUCGCUUGAUGAAGAAUUCACCCCAGUUUGAAGAGGACAUUAAGAAUUUGGUGGUGGAUGAGUACAGCAGAAGUCGGAAACGGUUCUUGGAGAUAUGCCAGGUGGAGUUACAGUUGAAUGUGCAACAAACAUGGAUCGACAUCCACGAUGGAAGCGAAAGGCACAGGAUCCAGAGGUGGAUUAAACUUUCCAACAUAGCAUUGAGGAUGCUAUUUCCUUAUGAACGGAGACUCUGCCAGCGAAUCUUUGGCUCCCACUCUGACAUCUCGGAUAAGUGUUUCAUGCAGGCUUGCUCGGAAUUGGCACAAGAUUUACUGAAUUUCACGGAUCAUAUUGCAACUAGGAGGAAUUUUGAACAGAUGAGCUAUUCGCACUCCAUUUUCCAAGUGUUCAGAACACUAAACCUAAGUAUUCCAGCCUUUGAGUCACUGUUUUCUAAUUCUCACUUCGGCUCUUCACUCUGGAUUGAAGCAGCACGCGUUAAAGAAAGACUAUGUAGAGUAAUUAAGGAUUACUUUUUCACGGAGUUGGAGGAAUUGGCUCACGUAGAUGGAAGUGGGUACUAUAUUAGGGACAAAAUUCAUAGCACUACUAUCCGAGUAAUGUUCCGCCUCAGUGAUGCCUUCAGGGAAAGAGACACCCUUGAAUUAAUCCUCCAUGAUUACCCCAUGGUUGAUGUCAUGGAAGGAGUGUCUUCGCUUUCUACUCACAUUGCUUGGAUGAUCGAGCUGCUAGAGACCAAUUUGGAAGCCUUCACAAAAAAAUUUAAGAAUGCUUCCGUGGGCAGUAUUUACUUAAUAGAUAAUGUUAAUUACAUAGUAAAGAAAGUCUGUGGUACUCAAUUGAACACCAUUUUGGGGGAUACUUGGCUAGAAGAACAAAGUGCCAAAAUCGAUCAGUACAUCAAGGACUAUCAAAGAAUCUCAUGGGAUAACGUGUUGGGCUUCUUGAAGUUGGACAGCGAUAAUGUGACGACAGAGUCAAUGAAAGAGAAGCUCCGGUCGUUCAACGAGCAAUUUCCAAAAACGUUGGUUGAACAGUCUCGUCCGUCACUGGAUGAUCAGAAGCUACGGCAAGAUAUAAUAGAAUCGGUGCGCUUGGUCUUAGUCCCAGCAUAUGGAAAUUUCAUCAACAAGUUUCGCGAUAUUCUUCUUGAUCAUGCUGAUGAGUACAUCGAGUAUUCAACAUCGGAAGUUGAAAGCCGCCUCAGGGGCACGUUGGACGGCUCGUUUUUUGCAUUUUUCUGACCAUGAAUAAGUUGCCAAAAGGGAAGGUAAGGCUAUCCAAGCUCGUGAUAUAUUCCUUUUUUGUUUGAAGUAUUUAUAAAAUACUAUGAUGGCUUUCGAUUUUUGUUAAUUUUUUUCUUUUUUAAGAGAAUUGAUUUUGUCAAAUAUCAGUGAUUAGUCUUGAAUUUAUUUUACAGUUUACACUUAUAAUUUCUAUUGUUAAUGACUUAAAAAUAUAUAUUAUUUGUACAUCAUGUUUAAGAAACUGAGUUCUAGAGGAUGGAGAUAAAAGAAGUUUCAGUGUGAAGAAAGAGAACGUAGAGAUAAAAUGGUUGAGAAAUAAAACUGAUUUCUCAUUUUCUGAAUUUGACAAAUCACAAUAUUGCUUACAACAAACUCUUAGCUCCCAGAUCAGCUUGGCUAACUAGUACCUCUCGGCUGAGCUCACUAACUUUAACAAAAAAUAAGUCACAUAAACGCUGACUGCUGCAAGUUAUUGUAAUAGUUUGCUUUGUUUUCUUUGGAUUUCACAGGGAAAAAGAUUUGAAAAUGAAUUUAACUGAGUCGAAAGUGUAAACAUGUUUCAUCUUUUUUAAAAAGCAAAUAUUACUUUCGAAGGAUGCAUAUAUCUAUAUUAUAGUGAGUGAAAUUCCUUUUAGAUGAUUACAGCUUGUCAAAGCUAAGAGAAUAGAUGAUUAUCCCUCGUCAAAGCCAUGAGAAUCCUGACUAUAUAUUUUACUUACACCCAGAAAGUGGUUUUAAAGUUUUUAUAGAUGGUACUCAUAUUUAGUGAACAAAAUCGCCAUCUAUUUGAAGAAAAAUGAUUUUGGAAAAGUAGUAGACUUAAUAAGAAAUUGGAGUUCUUAAUAUACGACUAAGCUAUACAAAUUAAUUAUCUUAUAAUUUCUAAGAAAGCAUAGAGUUGACACUUUAUGAUCACUACUAAUGUUUACUAUUACUGAUUAUAUUGGUUUACCCAAACGGUAUCUCCCAA